rfam:Homo sapiens chromosome 4, GRCh38 reference primary assembly.
GCCAGGUGUGGUGGUGCACACCUGUAGUCUCAGCUACCUGGGAGGCUGAGGUGGGAGAAUCGCUUGAACCCGGGAGGCGGGGGUUGCAGUGGGCAGAGAUCAUGCCACUGCAUUCCAGCCUGGGCAACAGAGUGAGACUCCGUCUUUA